rnacentral:rRNA from 1 species
CAGGUCUUGACAUCCCUCUGAUCGGAGCGUAAUGGUUCCUUUCCUUCGGGACAGAGGAGACAGGUGGUGCAUGGUUGUCGUCAGCUCGUGUCGUGAGAUGUUGGGUUAAGUCCCGCAACGAGCGCAACCCUUACCUUCAGUAGCCAGCGAGCGAAGUCGGGCACUCUGGAGGGACUGCCAGGGACAACCUGGAGGAAGGUGGGGAUGACGUCAAAUCAUCAUGCCCCUUAUGAUCUGGGCUACACACGUGCUACAAUGGCGUAAACAAAGGGAAGCGAUCAUGCGAAUGUAAGCAAAUCUCAGAAAUAACGUCUCAGUUCGGAUUGCAGUCUGCAACUCGACUGCAUGAAGCUGGAAUCGCUAGUAAUCGCGAAUCAGAAUGUCGCGGUGAAUACGUUCCC